rnacentral:lncRNA from 1 species
UUGAAAUUAAGGUUGAAGCAGCAAAAGUAAAUCAACAGCAACAAAAUUCGACCACAACUUCAAGUGCAAACCAUUUCCAAUUCCAGAAUUUGAGAUAAAACAGAAACAAAAAUCAACCCCAAUCUAGCUGAAACUACAACAUCUUAAACCAAGCUUUACAAAUCCAAAUUAAAACCACUUCCAUAUCAAUUGAUACAAAACUUGUUUCCAAGACUUAACAAAUCACAAAAUAUUCAAACGAAAUGCAAAGGAACAAUAAGAUCAUUUAAUAUUUCUGAUACUAAGAACUUAUAUGGAGCCUAGUAAAAUAGCUACUUUGUCCUAUAUUUUUCUAGCCUCC